CCGGCGGCGGCGACGGGCGCGCGCGCGGUGCUCGCUGCCCCCACGCUGCUCCCUCGGCUGGGAUCGCGGCGUCUCCCGCUCGCCGCACUGCUCCACGCCUGGCCCGUGGCUCCGGAGGCGGCAGUCGUGCCAGGUGGGCUCGGGUGGACAGGCGCGGCGGUCGGGGCGAGGCGGCGGCACGGGUGGACAGCGCGGAACCCAGCAAGUUCCUCGCAGGCGAUGUCGCCGGGCGCGGGCCCCUGCGUACGCCGGGCGCCGUGACAGGCCAGCCGGGGAGGCGCGGACGGGGGAGGCCGCGACGGAGCUCCCGGACUGGCCAUGGGCUGAGCCGCAUCCUCACGGAGCAGG
rnacentral:lncRNA from 1 species